rnacentral:rRNA from 1 species
GACUGCGUACCUUUUGUAUAAUGGGUCAGCGACUUAUAUUCUGUAGCAAGGUUAACCGAAUAGGGGAGCCGAAGGGAAACCGAGUCUUAACCGGGCGUUAAGUUGCAGGGUAUAGACCCGAAACCCGGUGAUCUAGCCAUGGGCAGGUUGAAGGUUGGGUAACACUAACUGGAGGACCGAACCGACUAAUGUUGAAAAAUUAGCGGAUGACUUGUGGCUGGGGGUGAAAGGCCAAUCAAACCGGGAGAUAGCUGGUUCUCCCCGAAAGCUAUUUAGGUAGCGCCUCGUGAAUUCAUCUCCGGGGGUAGAGCACUGUUUCGGCAAGGGGGUCAUCCCGACUUACCAACCCGAUGCAAACUGCGAAUACCGGAGAAUGUUAUCACGGGAGACACACGGCGGGUGCUAACGUCCGUCGUGAAGAGGGAAACAACCCAGACCGCCAGCUAAGGUCCCAAAGUCAUGGUUAAGUGGGAAACGAUGUGGGAAGGCCCAGACAGCCAGGAUGUUGGCUUAGAAGCAGCCAUCAUUUAAAGAAAGCGUAAUAGCUCACUGGUCGAGUCGGCCUGCGCGGAAGAUGUAACGGGGCUAAACCAUGCACCGAAGCUGCGGCAGCGACACUGUGUGUUGUUGGGUAGGGGAGCGUUCUGUAAGCCUGUGAAGGUGUACUGUAAGGUAUGCUGGAGGUAUCAGAAGUGCGAAUGCUGACAUAAGUAACGAUAAAGCGGGUGAAAAGCCCGCUCGCCGGAAGACCAAGGGUUCCUGUCCAACG